GGUGAACGCUGGCGGCGUGCCUAAUACAUGCAAGUCGAACGAAACUUCUUUAUCACCGAGUGCUUGCACUCACCGAUAAAGGGUUGAGUGGCGAACGGGUGAGUAACACGUUUGCAACCUGCCCAAAAGAGGGGGAUAACACGUGGAAACAGCUGCUAAUACCGCAUAACCAUAGUUACCGCAUGGGAACUUUGGAGAAGGUGGCUAUACUACCGCUUUUGGAUGGGCGGGCGGGGGAUUAGCUAGCUGGGCGGGUAAAGGCUCACCAAGGGAACGAUUCGUAGCCGAAAUGAGAGGAUGAUCAGCCACAUUGGGACUGAGACACGGCCCAGACUCCUACGGGAGGCAGCAGUGGGGAAUAUUGCACAAUGGGCGCAAGCCUGAUGGAGCCAUGCCGCGUGGGUGAAGAAGGUCUUCGGAUCGUAAAACCCUGUUGUUAGGAAAGAAAGUGAGUGGGAGUAACCGUUCCCGUUUUGACGGUACCUAACCAGAAAGCCACGGCUAACUACGUG
rnacentral:rRNA from 1 species